rnacentral:rRNA from 1 species
GAUGAACGCUGGCGGCGUGCCUAAUACAUGCAAGUCGAGCGAAUGGAUUAAGAGCUUGCUCUUAUGAAGUUAGCGGCGGACGGGUGAGUAACACGUGGGUAACCUGCCCAUAAGACUGGGAUAACUCCGGGAAACCGGGGCUAAUACCGGAUAACAUUUUGAACCGCAUGGUUCGAAAUUGAAAGGCGGCUUCGGCUGUCACUUAUGGAUGGACCCGCGUCGCAUUAGCUAGUUGGUGAGGUAACGGCUCACCAAGGCAACGAUGCGUAGCCGACCUGAGAGGGGGCUCGGCCACACUGGGACGGAGACACGGCCCAGCCUCCUACGGGAGGCAGCAGUAGGGAAUCUUCCGCAAUGGACGAAAGUCUGACGGAGCAACGCCGCGUGAGUGAUGAAGGCUUUCGGGUCGUAAAACUCUGUUGUUAGGGAAGAACAAGUGCUAGUUGAAUAAGCUGGCACCUUGACGGUACCUAACCAGAAAGCCACGGCUAACUACGUGCCAGCAGCCGCCGUAA